AGAGUGGUGCUGUAUCCAAGCUUGAAGGAAGGCUGAGAUCAGCUCUCAUGAGAAGAUACCUCAGCUGGACCCUGCUCCUGCCCUUCAUCACCUGAGUUGAUCUACCAAGUGGCUUCAAAGCUUUGGUGUUCAGCAGAGAUCUCUUUGAAGCUUCCUGUGUUCACCUGAGGUUGCAAAAAAUGAAUGAAGAGAACUAACUCAAUGGGCUUUUUUGAAACAUCUGAUGGAGAUGACCUCUACUAGUUCCAUGAGGGCUCACCAGUGUAUCUCCUGGGGGCUUUGGGAGGAUUCACCAAACUCCUCUUGAGAGGAUUCAAGCUGUGGGAGUAGAGGGCAAAGCACUAGCCCCAAGGAAGCCCUGGCAAGGGAGCAUAUGGUGGCCUGUGAGAUCUUAAGAAUAAAAAUUCCAGCUUGGGAAGAAGCAGCACUCCAAGCAUGGCAGUCUUUGCAAGAGGUGAUUUUUUUUCCACCUGCAGAAGAACACUUUACCAAAGCUUGUCAUGUAUAUCCCAUGACUUUUCUUUUUUUCAGUCAGGAAAUAAAUAACACUGACAGCCUCCUAAUCUCAAAUCAAAUGCAUCUUGAUUGAGCAUAACAAGGGGAAAAUUGAUGGGAUUGAUAGGAGCAGUGUCUCGGGGAUGUAUGUCCCCAAUCCUGCCAGGCACUGAGCUCCUCCAGGGAAAUCCUAGAUGUUCCCUGCCCUGGAUGGACAGGGAGCCCUCAG